rnacentral:lncRNA from 1 species
CAAAGUGGGGAUACAGCCUUGACAGUGACCGUAAAAGGAUCUUGUCCCAUUCUUCUUCAUGGAUGGUGAUCUUGUAGCCUGCAACAACAUCGAUGGUGUGAUGGCAGCCCUCAACAUCGUUCACGAUCCAGAUGAGUGGAGACUGUUCAUUGAUUCAUCGAAGACGAGUCUUAAAGCUGUUUUACUGCAUAAUGGCAAUAUUUUGCCAUCAAUUCCAGUUGGUCAUGCAGUCCAUAUGAAAGAAAGCUAUGACCACGUGAAACAACUUUUAAGGUGCAUAAACUAUGACCAACCUCAGUGGCAGCUUUGUGGCGAUUUGAAGGUUGUUGCUCUCUUGCUUGGUCUGCAGACUGGAUACACAAAGUACUGCUGUUUUCUCUGCGAAUGGGAUAGUCGUGCAAGAGAUUCCCAUGACAUCAAGAAAGAUUGGCCACUCCGACAGUCAUUGGAGCCUGGGAGGAAAAGUGUUCAGCAUCCACCACUUGUUGAAUCAAGGAAGAUUUUGUUACCAGCCUUACACAUCAAGCUGGGUCUGAUGAAGAACUUUGUCAAGGCCAUUGACAAAACACAAGCAGCUUUCAAGUACCUCCAUGGAAAAUUUCCAAGGUUAAGUGAAGUUAAGAUAAAGGAAGGUGUCUUUGUUGGUCCUCAGAUUCGUGAACUUCUUCGAGAGGAUGCAUUAGACCAUGCACUUCGUGGCAAGGAAAAGACAGCAUGGAAAGCCUUCCAGUUAGUGGCAAUAAAUUUUCUCGGAAACAACAAGGCAGACAACUAUAGGUUGUUGGUGGAAAACCUCCUCAAGGCAUACAAAAGCCUUGGUUGCAACAUGUCACUAAAGAUACAUUUUUUGCACUCUCAUCUAGAUUUUUUUCCACCGAACUGCGGAGCGGUGAGUGACGAGCACGGCGAGCGAUUUCACCAGGACAUUGCAACAAUGGAGAAACGCUAUCAGGGCAAAUGGAGCCCAUCAUUACUUGCAGACUAUUGCUGGACAGCGACNNNNNNNNNNNNNNNNNNNNNNNN